UACGGAGGGGGCUAGCGUUGUUCGGAAUUACUGGGCGUAAAGCGCACGUAGGCGGCUUUGUAAGUUAGAGGUGAAAGCCCAGGGCUUAACCCUGGAAUUGCCUUUAAGACUGCAUCGCUAGAAUCGUGGAGAGGUGAGUGGAAUUCCGAGUGUAGAGGUGAAAUUCGUAGAUAUUCGGAAGAAACACCAGUGGCGAAGGCGACUCACUGGACUGUAACUGACGCUGAGGCGCGAAAGCGUGGGGAGCAAACAGG
rnacentral:rRNA from 1 species